UACCUGAGGCUGGUGCCAUUCUACUUCAACUGGCACGAUGAGAACCAGCGUGUGGCAGAGGCCUCUCGGGAAGCACUGUUUGGUGCAGCCAGGUUCCUAAAGUGGAGGGAUCUUGAGCACUUGGUGACCAGGGAGCAGCCCUGGAGGUUUGGCGAGUGCCUGCUGGAAAAGGACAGGAGCCGAGUGGGCCAGUACGUGCG